GACGAACGCUGGCGGCGUGCUUAACACAUGCAAGUCGAACGGUAAGGCCCUUCGGGGUACACGAGUGGCGAACGGGUGAGUAACACGUGGGUGAUCUGCCUUGCACUUCGGGAUAAGCCUGGGAAACUGGGUCUAAUACCGGAUAGGACCAUGGACUUCACGGUUUGUGGUGGAAAGCUUUUGCGGUGUGGGAUGGGCCCGCGGCCUAUCAGCUUGUUGGUGGGGUAAUGGCCUACCAAGGCGACGACGGGUAGCCGGCCUGAGAGGGUGUCCGGCCACACUGGGACUGAGAUACGGCCCAGACUCCUACGGGAGGCAGCAGUGGGGAAUAUUGCACAAUGGGCGCAAGCCUGAUGCAGCGACGCCGCGUGAGGGAUGACGGCCUCGGUU
rnacentral:rRNA from 1 species